rnacentral:rRNA from 1 species
UACGGGGGGGGCAAGCGUUGUUCGGAAUUACUGGGCGUAAAGCGCACGUAGGCGGAUUUGUAAGUCAGGGGUGAAAUCCCGGGGCUCAACCUCGGAACUGCCUUUGAUACUGCAAAUCUCGAGUCCGGAAGAGGUGAGUGGAAUUCCUAGUGUAGAGGUGAAAUGCGCAGAUAUCAGGAAGAACACCCGUGGCGAAGGCGGCUCUCUGGAACGCAACUGACGCUGAGACGCGAAAGCGUGGGGAGCAAACAGG